GGGGCCUUAGCUCAGUUGGCAGAGCGCCUGCUUUGCAAGCAGGAAGUCAGGAGUUCGAAUCUCCUAGGCUCCA
rfam:Nonomuraea sp. ATCC 55076, complete genome.